AUGCACUCUCGCUCACUCCACCGGCAGAUCUCCGAAGAUCAAGAUCCAGCGCCGAAUAGAGAAUUUACAUGGUACACCCUCCAAGAAUCACUCCACUGGAUCACACAGUACAACAUCAUGUCUGAUAUCUAUUCAUCAAAAUUCUCCAUGGUGCAUCCUCAUUCAUCACCAUCAGAUCAUCAUAUAUCAAUAUCCAACACUCCAGAAUGUGUAUUCCACGAUAAACCCCGCUGGAUGACUGCAAAGGAUCCGUGA